rnacentral:rRNA from 1 species
UACAGAGGGUGCGAGCGUUAAUCGGAAUUACUGGGCGUAAAGCGCACGUAGGUGGCGACGUAAGUCGGGUGUGAAAGCCCCGGACUCAACCUGGGAAUUGCAUUCGAUACUGCAUUGCUGGAGUACGGAAGAGGAGGGCGGAAUUCCCAGUGUAGCGGUGAAAUGCGUAGAUAUCGGGAGGAACAUCAGUGGCGAAGGCGGCCCUCUGGUCCAGUACUGACACUCAAGUGCGAAAGCGUGGGGAGCAAACAGG